rnacentral:lncRNA from 1 species
UAGUUCUUGAGCAGAUGAACAACUUUCAAGAAGGAACCAUUUCUGUUUGAGCCACGGAAAUUAAAGUGUUGAAGCUCCAAGCAUGACAGUCGGAUUCUUGCAGAUUUCGAAGCUGCUGUGAUGUUUCGAAGAUCUGGAAAUAUUUAACCAUUAGUUCAUUCUGAAUUUUUGAUAUGUUAUGAAAGAGACGAUGAGGAACAACUUCAAUGAAGAAAGCAUGCUGAUCUGAGCAAGAGAAAAUGGAGUUUCAAAGCUCACAACAAAUCUGACGGGUUGACAGAAAAAUAAUAACCAGUCAUUCAUCAUACCUGGAUUUCUGGAGUUAUACUGCUCCGAGGGACCUCAAAUUUGGAUAUGUUGUAGUUCACAAGUUAAGGAACAACUUCAAUGAAGAAAGCAUGCUGAUCUGAGCAAGAGAAAAUAGAGUUUCAAAGCUCACAACAAAUCUGACGGGUUGACAGACAAAUGAUAAACAGUCACUCAUCAUACCUGGAUUUCUGGAGUUAUACUGCUCCGAGGGACCUCAAAUUUGGAUAUGUUGAAGUUCACAAGCUGAGGAACAACUUCAAUGAAGAACGCAUGCUGAUCUGAGCAAGAGAAAAUGGAGUUUCAAAGCUCACAACAAAUCUGACGGGUUGACAGAAAAAUAAUAACCAGUCACUCAUCAUACCUGGAUUUCUGGAGUUAUACUGCUCCGAGGGACCUCAAAUUUGGAUAUGUUGUAGUUCACAAGCUGAGGAACAACUUCAAUGAAGAAAGCAUGCUGAUCUGAGCAAGAGAAAAUGGAGUUUCAAAGCUCACAACAAAUCUGACGGGUUGACAGAAAAAUAAUAACCAGUCAUUCAUCAUACCUGGAUUUCUGGAGUUAUACUGCUCCGAGGGAUCUCAAAUUUGGAUAUGUUGUAGUUCACAAGUUAAGGAACAACUUCGAUGAAGCAAGUAUAUUGAU